UACGUAGGGUGCGAGCGUUAAUCGGAAUUACUGGGCGUAAAGCGUGCGCAGGCGGUUCGUUAAGUCAGAUGUGAAAGCCCCGGGCUUAACCUGGGAACUGCAUUUGUGACUGCAUGGCUAGAGUGCGGCAGAGGGGGAUGGAAUUCCGCGUGUAGCAGUGAAAUGCGUAGAUAUGCGGAGGAACACCGAUGGCGAAGGCAAUCCCCUGGGCCUGCACUGACGCUCAUGCACGAAAGCGUGGGGAGCAAACAGG
rnacentral:rRNA from 1 species